AGAGCGAACGCUGGCGGCAGGCCUAACACAUGCAAGUCGAGCGGUAGAGAGGUGCUUGCACCUCUUGAGAGCGGCGGACGGGUGAGUAAUGCCUAGGAAUCUGCCUAGUGGUGGGGGAUAACGUUCGGAAACGGACGCUAAUACCGCAUACGUCCUACGGGAG
rnacentral:rRNA from 1 species